CCUACGGGAGGCAGCAGUGGGGAAUUUUGGACAAUGGGCGCAAGCCUGAUCCAGCAAUGCCGCGUGCAGGAUGAAGGCCUUCGGGUUGUAAACUGCUUUUGUACGGAACGAAAAAGUCUGCCCUAAUACGGUGGGCCCAUGACGGUACCGUAAGAAUAAGCACCGGCUAACUACGUGCCAGCAGCCGCGGUAAUACGUAGGGUGCGAGCGUUAAUCGGAAUUACUGGGCGUAAAGCGUGCGCAGGCGGUUAUAUAAGACAGAUGUGAAAUCCCCGGGCUCAACCUGGGACCUGCAUUUGUGACUGUAUAGCUAGAGUACGGUAGAGGGGGAUGGAAUUCCGCGUGUAGCAGUGAAAUGCGUAGAUAUGCGGAGGAACACCGAUGGCGAAGGCAAUCCCCUGGACCUGUACUGACGCUCAUGCACGAAAGCGUGGGGAGCAAACAGGAUUAGAUACCCUGGUAGUCCACGCCCUAAACGAUGUCAACUGGUUGUUGGGUCUUCACUGACUCAGUAACGAAGCUAACGCGUGAAGUUGACCGCCUGGGGAGUCGGCCGCAGGUUGAAACUCAAAGGAUUGACGGCUGAGAGNGCGAGACGACGACGAGGGAGGAGG
rnacentral:rRNA from 1 species